GGCGCGGGCACCGGGCUGAGUGAGCCCCGGCUGCUGCGGAGCGACAUCCGCGGGGACAGCGCUGGUUCGGGGAUUUCCGAGCGGGCACGGAGUUUGGGAAGCGGGAUGGACCCGCAGGAAUCCUGAGCGCCUGCGGGGACAGGGUCACCUUCCAGUGCCCCAGGCUGCUCCA